CUACUUAUGCCGGCGACCGGCGGACGGGUGCGUAACGCGUAUGUAACCUACCUUUGACAGGGGGAUAACACCGAGAAAUUGGUACUAAUACCCCAUAACAUCACCGGAGGCAUCUUCGGUGGUUGAAAACUCAGGUGGUCAGAGAUGGACAUGCGUUGUAUUAGCUAGUUGGUGAGGUAACGGCUCACCAAGGCGACGAUACAUAGGGGGACUGAGAGGUCAACCCCCCACAUUGGUACUGAGACACGGACCAAACUCCUACGGAAGGCAGCAG
rnacentral:rRNA from 1 species